GCUUGCAUGUCGAUACAUUGAUAGAAUGAGAGAUUUUCAACUCUACAAGUUCAAGACUAGGUCGAAACAAGCACUAUAGAGAAGACCACAAUGAAUGACUGCUAGACAAACACUACAACAAACAACACCAAACAAUCUUCAACCUAAUAUAAGUCAUCCACACAAAUACACAAGACACAAACCCUGCCAGAAGUAAUAAGACUCCAACAUUAAAAAGAAGGCAAAGUUGUUGCACCACCAUCCUUGUAUACAAUUGAACUAGCCCUAUUUAAGCUAAACCAUGGCCGCGGCAGCAGAGAGUGGUUGUGACGACCCCGGCACGAAAGGCCUCCUGCAGAGCGGGCAGGUGAUGUUGCUCUUCAUCCACGGCACGAGGCAGCCCCGGUGGAAGACGUGUCGGCACGCCGGCACCUCGCUGCACUCCGCCCCGCCCACCAGCGCCUCCAGGCAGAUCACGCACACCACCACCGACGCCCUCGCCGUCCUUUUCCCGCCAUCCGCCUCGGUGCCGGCGGGGUACGAGAAGUAGGCCAGCUGCUGCGGCUCCAUGACCCGCGCCGGCGAGCCGGACGUCGUGCGGCUCCUUGUACCCGCGGCGGCCGCGUUAUAUCCUUGGUCCGCCGUCUCUGGUACGCGGUCGCAGCACCAGAUUAGGAAGGCGGCCGUAACAAAUGGCGUGAGGGUACAAAUGAUAACUAGUAAAAUGCCGGCAAUGUUGUCCGGCCCGACGGCCGUCGAUAUCGUCGUGGUCAUUCCUUAGAUAACUAGUAAAACAGUGGGAAUUUUUCCCGCUCUCCACCGACGGUUUCGUCGGUGCGAGCGGGAAAUAAGCCUGGGAAUCUGGCCGCGCGGAAAUCAGCGCAAUCAGCAACAAUGUCGGCCGCGCGGAAACAGUGGCCUGGCCGCCUGCUCCCGAGGCGGCAGGGCCCACCCGGCUUUGUCCGUUACGGACAGGAGUGGGCGGGAACGGGUUCCGGCACUGGCCGCCUCUGUCGGUGGCGGCAGGCCCCGGCCGCCAGGGGUGGUGGCGGCAGGCCCCACGGCCGCCUCGUGCGGUGGCGGCAGGUGCCACGUGCCGCCUGGCGCGCCUGCCGCCACCCGGGAUGGGGGUCUUUUUUCUCGUUUCCACUCGCAGGUGGUCUCUUUUGACAAUCCCACUCAACAGGGGGUCCUUUUGGACAAAAAUUCCGACGUGGGUGGCCUGGUGCAUGUAUAGGCUAUAGAUCAUGACAGAUGCAUCACGAAUGUGUGUAGUGGUAACGGAAUUUUUUUGCUACCUAUGAUGGUAACUACACACGGCUCAAGAUGUGUCGUGCAUGUAUAGGCUAUAUAUAGAUCAUGGUAGAUGCAUCACAAAUGUGUGUAGUCGUAACCGAAAUAAUUUGGUACCCAUGAUGAUAGCUACACACGACCCAAAUUUUUAUCUCUAACUAGUUAGCAUGCACGUGCAACGCACGACUAACCGAAUAAUUUAUAAAUUGCUUUUUAUAUUAAAAUUUUAGUAUAUAUAUAUAUAUGUAAAAAUAUUGAAACACACACAAUAUACACAUUACUUGCACUUCAUUGAAAAAUUGAAAACAAAUUUAUUUAGUGGAAUAAUGAAAAAAAUGUUUGGAGUAACAUAAGACAAAAAGAAACAUUGGGCUCACUGGAAGGUUGCAGCAAGCUGGAAUGAAUCCUAACUUCUUCACUUGAUGCAUCAUAUCUAGCUUCGAUGUCUGAUAAAUUAGCAAGCAUAUUGUCAGCAGAUGCCAAAUAUAAUUAAAGCAUAAACAGUAACACUCUAAGUGCAAUGUAAAAAUUUACCUGUCCUGUUGACACAAUGACAGGAUCUCUCAUCAGGUCAAGAGAUAUUGGGUAACGGAAAUCUUCAGGCAUAGCUACAGUGUCAGACUUCUUAACAUUGUCACGUGAUUCUUUUGCUUCAUCACUUGUUUGGCCAUCACCAUUGGUCAGUUUUGCAGAAACAGAAACUGUAGUGUUUUCAAGUUCUUCAAUUAGCUCAGAUGUUAUUUUUUUGAUGUCAGAUUUAGAUAUCCCGCUUAUUUCUGAAAUUAGUAAAGCAACAUGUUGCAACUCCAGGUGAUCACUGUUGACGUUUUCCAACGGCAAUGUCUCUGGCUGGCUGUUUGGUUCUUCAGAUUGUGACCCGGCAUUAUCAACAUGAUGAGCUAAGAUAUCAUGAAUUUUUGAAAAAAUAUUUAGAUCAAGGGAUCCCUUCUUCUCCAUUUCUCUUUUAAGCUGAUCGAUGGCCCAACUGUUAACACCCUUCAGUGAGGGUUCCCACCGUCUCGCUUAAUGCGAGACAUAGGGGUACCUAUCAUUGACUACAUUUUUGAUGAGUUGAUAUAAGUCUAUAAAAUCCAAAAGGGCAGGGAAAAUAUUGCACGAAGGAUGAGAUGGACGAUAGAACCUUACAUUCGUUUUGAACAGGGGAGAUGUAUGUUAGGCGAUGAUUUACCUUUUCCUUAUUAGUGGCAAGCAUUGUCCUCAUUUACGAAAUCAUGCCCGUGAUUUACCUAGCUACCUACUUCUAAGUUUUAGAUUUUCAUUUCACAAUCUCUUAUUUGAUAAAUUUUAGGAUUUCAUUCGCUAGCCAGCCUUCACCGGAGCACCGCACUCGCCUUGGAUAAAUUUUAGGAUUUCAUUCGCUAGUAAUCUCAACUUGGGUAUCUUGCUCCUCAAUCACCUUAUCUUUUCCCUUUGAACUCUGCAAAGAUUGCCUUUGCAGCCUGACCAAAUGUGGGUUCUGAAAAGCGGAGAAAGAAGAACUAUCUUCUUGAUUCCCAGUGUGUGGUUCCUUAGGAAUGAGAUCCACAUGUGUCAUCCAUGAUCCAAACUUAACUGAAGGAAUUUGCUCCAAGGAGAUCUGCAACCUUUGCCUAGAAAUGAGCUUUUGGGACAGUGCUGAACAGAAUGGAACAAGACUCCACAUAAAGUACAGAUUCGACCAAUUCUUUCAUAAAACAAGUAUGCCCAAGCAGCCAAAUCUUUAGUGAAGGAAACCCAAAUUUUAUCUCUCACUCGCACCAUCACCUUAGCUUUAAUUGUACCCCACAUAUAUUCAGAUCUGGCAUGGAUCAUAGGCUGACUGAAAGGGUGAAAUUCAUAAAUUUGACCAACACUCUGCACAAUCCUAGUUAAAAGCUGCUGAGUUCGAAACCCAAGGGGAACACCAUACACUCGGACAGUAACAAAGACAGUUUUAAAUUUGUAAUCCUGAAAAUCUCUACUGAAAUCCUCCGGAUCGGUCAACUCAAUUAAGAAAUUAUCUGAACCCAUGGCCUAAGGCUGGCGAGUGAAUACAAACAUAGCAGCUUCCAAAGAGUUGAAACGGGCCACAAAGAUGUACGUGGAGAGCUGCCAAAUCCCAUGGUAAUUAUCUCUCCACACCCGUGCCAUAGCGAGCUGCACAGAAUUGAGAGAAAGAACUCUUGCAGAUCAUCCAGUGGCUGCUAACUUCAUCAGAAUAUUAAACUGAGCAUCUUGGCCUUGAUUCUCCUCCUUUUGCUGUGCUUGAAUAUGAAGGACAUUUGGAUCUUGGAUGGAUAAGGCUUGCAUGUUGAGCUCAAUACCAGGAUCUGGAUUGAUGGACUCUGGCUGACCUGCACGUACGGACCUUACCAUGCGGCUGCUCACCUAGUUCGUCCGUGGCCCUCCUUCAAUCCGGAGCGCCCGGAGCAGGUCGGCCACCCAGGCCGUCGCCUCGGGCUCGGCCGUGCCGUCCUCCCCCGCCGCCUCGGCGACCUCGGCGACGAGGUGCGUGAGCAGGGACACCUUGCGCGCGAGGCGGAGGCAGUCGGCCCGCAGCGGCUCCGCGGCGGCGGCGCCCACAGCCGUGAUCUCCCGCACGAUCUCCGCGGCCGCCCCGGCCGUUGCCGCCGUCGCGCCGCCCCGGGUCAGGCCUCGGUCAGCCUUUGUUUGCUGUAGGAGGAGGUGGAGCACGGUCAGCCUUUGUUAAUUUGGUAACUGCACACCGUCGUGGUGCAUGGAUGGUGGAAGGCCGUUAGAUUGUAAUUUGUUGUCUAAUUGUGUGGUGGUGAUUGGUGUUUGUUUUUGUGGGGGUAAUAGUUGUGUGUACUUAGAGAAGUUUUCGUUUGAUCUUUUAUUAGUAGUAUAGAUUAUUUUAAACCAUAAAAAAAAUUCUACAAUGAAAUAUCAUGACUUUAGACCACUCAAGCAAGCAAGCAUGCAAUUAUACCAAAAAGGCAACAAAAAGGCAGAGAGAAGUUAGAAACGUCAUUUCUACACAACGAAAAGACAUCUGUGUCAAAAAGGUAAUAACAAAGAUAAACAUAGGUGAGAAAAGGUCACUUCUAUACAAAAAACAUGUACUUGUGCCAAUACCAUUGAAACCUGACCUGUAUCUAUCUAAUCGAUGAAAAAAGGGUUUCCCCGCUUUGUAUUACAAAGCAACCAACCAGAACAUCAGAAGAUAGGUGCUGGGACGGAAACAACACAAUCACGCCCAAAAGAAAUGGAAAAGAAAAUACAAAGAAACAAAUACCGACACCAGCGUAUUGACAGAAAACACAAAAGACUUGCGACCGAUGCGCCCACCAAUAGUCUUCCACCAAGCUCCAGGACUCCGAAGCGCAUGUACCCAUCAACACCUUCAAGAAGGAAUGCGAUGAUGACUAUGCUGCUGCCAAGAGUUUCCCCCGGUACGCGACGAGGCACGAGGAAGGGUAGCCCCGACGCCCUCCAGGAAGGUUCGGUGACACCCAAGGGCAUCACCGCGUCAGUGUCAGCCGGGCCGACAGUGGUUUCCCCCGAUCCCAACCUGCAUGUCGGGCACUCCAGAUCCUGCCACCAAACCAACCGACACCCUGCACCAAUACGGUCUUGAGGGCCGUGCGCCGUCUCACCACGACACCGUAAGGAGAAGCCUACACAGUGAUGAAGAGAAGCCGGGACAAGAAGCAGCAGCAUCGUCGGCAUGUGGGAGGGCUCAGCCUUCACCGUUAAUGACGGUAGCCGACCGAACGCAAUAGCAUGAGCAUACGAAGCCUGUGGGCCCACAGGCCCGACCGAGACCGCCCCAUAAAGCUCCCGCCAUCAUGCUGCAACAGGCAUGUCGUCGGCAACACCACCCCCUGUCCAAGCUGCUCUGCCUCACCACCAUGCAGAAGACACCGCAGCCACGCCGAGAGCCGGCCCGCUAGGACCCAGAUAGGACACGCAGGGCCCAGACCUGGGCCGGGGGCGCGCCAUAUUGUCUUGGAUGGAGUUGCUCCUUCCGAUCCAAUGGAAUACGAUUCUUUGCACCUGGUGAUUAAUUUUCACCAGUCAAGCAGUCACUGCGAUCUACUCAUUCCAUUAUAUUUCCACGUAACACCAAAAUAUGAAGUAUUCCUAUGAUGGGAUGAGUUUUGCGUAGGGUCUCUGCGACGGGUCACCAAGCAUGCGGUGUAUCCACGCAGAACCAACACAACACCCGAUCCAUGCAUGUACAUAAAUUCAUCCGUUGAUUACACGUAGGUAUACAAUUGAGCAAACCCUAUUUAAGCUACACCAUGGCCUCGGUAGCCGAGAUGGGAGGUGAUGCUGACCCCGGCACGACAGGGCUCCUGCAGAGCGGGCAGGUGCCGUUGCUCUUCAUCCACAGCGCGAGGCAGCCCUCUGCACUCCGCCCCGCCCACCAGCGCCUCCAGGCAGAUCGCGCACACCACCACCGACGCUCCGGCGCCUGUCCCUCUGCCACCAUCUGCCUCAGCGCCGGCGGGGUACGAGAAGUAGGCCAGCCGCCGCGGCUUCCCGACGACGACCGGCACCGGCCUUCGCCACUGCACGCCCGACCACCUGCCCCUCCUUCCACCACCGGCGUCGGCGGCCACGUUAUAUCCUUGUUCCGCCGGUGGGUCACAGCACAAGAUUAGGCAGAAGAGAAUCGCCGUGAGGACACGAAGGGAGACAAACAUGGCCGAGAAGGCCCCGUACACGGUGGACAUCGCCGUCUGGUCGAUCGCGCCGCCUGUUUUUGUGCUGAGAUUUCGUUCUUGGCAAUAAUAAGGAGCACAUACGUAGUAAGUACUACCUUCGUCCGGAAGUACUUAUCCUAAAAAUGUAAAUAAUGGAUGUAUCUAUAAUUAAAAUAAGUCUAGAUACAUUCAUCUCUAGGACAAGUAUUUUCGAACGGAGGGAGUAUAUAUCAGCAACAACAGCCGGUGCUCGAUCGAUCCGAUUAUUGUAGGUGGAGUCGUCACAUGUUAACUCGAUCAGUAUCUGGAACGGAAAACAGCUUCGGCACUUUUAUAGCAAUCUCACACGUAGUAUCGUCAACUUACUAUUUCUUGUGGGGAAAAAUAUAUUUGCCAAACAUUCCAAGUUUUGGGUUACAAAACUUGAAACGCGUCUCCUGCCAUCGUUCUGGUCGAGAGCUUCUUUGGCAGACCCCAGCGACCAACCAGGCUAGCUAGGAUACGUUCAUGUCUACUAGAAGAAAAUUUAUCUACUUUAAAACUAUUCGGCUGUAGCUGCAGCACCAAGAUACGCAUCAAUUUGGCACACUAACAUUUUCGAACCAAAUAUAUUACUCCCUCUAUCCGAAAAUUCUUGUCAUUGGAAUGGAUGUAUCUAAAUAUAUUUUAAUUCUAGAUAUUUUUAUUUUUAUUCAUUUAUGUGACAAGUAAUUCCGAACUGAUGGGAGUAUUUGACAUGUCGCAUAUAAUACAUUAAAACAUCGGUGUAGUUGACCACGGGCUUGGUGUCGCGCGAGAGUGCUCGGUGACAGCCGUCGGCACGCACUGGGUUGUGUUCCCCCCGGUCCAACGGGACUGGCUGGCGACGCAGGUGUGGAAGCCUCCUACGAUGGAGGCAUCGACCCACACUUCAUAAUUGAUGUCGGGCUAGGAGUGAAAGGAGGCCUCUUUUACUCUUCCUCCGUAGUUGGUGCACCGUGAUGCGGAUGAUGGGUGGUGGCUCGGACAUGGAUGUCGGGGUGGCGGCUCCGAAGGGUGGUCCGCUUGGUUCGCUGUCCGGCGAGCACCAUGUCGGCCAUGGUGGCUUUUCCUCUUGGUCGUGUGGCUGCAGGAGGUAUAUCGAUGGUGGCCCGGGCACGUAUCUUGUCUUGACAGUGGCGUCGCCCUGAUCCAGACCUGCGGGUUUGAUCUUGUCGCACUUGUCCUGAAGACCUCGUGGUGGCACGGGGGAGCUCUUGAGUGAAAGCUUCAUGAUUUUUUUGCCGACGACGGCGAUACUCGGGGCAUCGUUAUCUUCUUGAAGACGUUGUUGUGGUGCUCCUCUCCGUGUCACGGUUUCGAGCGAAGACCUUUCUACCUUCUGGAUUUGCCAGCAGCGACACUUUGCGUCCCCCCCCCCUUGAGGGCGUUGUCGGGGAACUUUAGUGUUAAGGGCGUAGUGUAGCGAUGUAUUAUGUUCUUCCAAUGUACUUUGUCGAUAGCAUAGUCGCUUGCGUUCUGUGUGAUCCGCUUAUCUUGGGAUUGGCGUUGUAUUUUACCUCGCCAUCUUGUAUUAUUCGGUCGUGCGUUGCGAUUGUUGCUUUAUAUAUAAAGUGGAGCAAAAGCAUGUUUUGAGGAAUUGCGUACAUUGGAGGUCUUGAGUUCUUAUCGUCUUCGUUGUGGAUAAGGGGACGGGACACAUGCCCAUGCAACAAUGAUCAACAUAGACAACUAUAUUUACCAGUUGUCCGUUCUAUAGUUAUCAACAUGAGACAACUAUUGUUCAUAUUGAAGUUAGCAUGCUGCUCAUAUUGAAGUUACUAGCAUAUUUAUGCUGAAGUUAUCAUGAUGUUCAUGUUAUAGGUAUCAUGUUGUUCAUGCUAAAUUUACCAGGCUAGUCAUGCUGAACUUAUUAAGCUCCUCAUGCUAUAGUUACCUAGCUGUUCAUACUGAAGUUAUCGGACUACUCAUGUUAUAAUUACCAGUCUGCACUGGUCAUAGUUAUCAGGUUGCUCAUGCCAUGUAGAAUCAUUUUAUGCCCCAGUAACUAUAGUGUUAAUAUCACGGUAACUUAUAUAUUGCAUGGUAAAUUAUAUUGCUAGGCCUUGUCACUUUUGAUCUGAUAAAAGUGGUCGAAACAUGUCAAUAUGAGAUCUACUUUUAAAGAUCGCAUUGCGAUAGAUUUAGUGUCAAAAACGGAUUUGAAUCAAACCAAUGAUUUGAGCUGAAAAUCAUUUUGACUUCCUGAAAUGAAAGAAUAUAAAAUGAUAUCAUCAGUUGUCUAUUUAUACAUGCAUGUAGUUAGAAAGAGAAAAAAAAGUGCACACGGAAGAAGGGAUUUUUAAUAUGCAUGCACACAUGCAUGUAAUGAGAGGAGGGGAUUGCCCUGGGGAGUAUUCCGAUCUAUUGCAAAAACCGGAAGCCAAUUAGUGUGGUCGUUUAUUAUAAAUUCCGUAGAAUAGAUGCUUCAAUUAGUUUUCGAGAAAAUGCAAAGCUUGCAUGUCGAUANGCAGAGCGGGCAGGUGCUGUUGCUCUUCAUCCACGGCACGAGGCAGCCCCGGUGGAAGACGUGCCGGCACGCCGGCACCUCGCUGCACUCCGCCCCGCCCACCAGCGCCUCCAGGCAGAUCGCGCACACCACCACCGACGCCCUCGCCGUCCUUUUUCCGCCAUCCGCCUCGGUGCCGGCAGGGUACGAGAAGUAGGCCAGCUGCUGCGGCUCCAUGACCCGCGCCGGCGAGCCGGCCGUCGUGCGGCUCCUUGUACCCGCGGCGGCCGCGUUAUAUCCUUGUUCCGCCGUCUCUGGUACGCGGUCGCAGCACCAGAUUAGGAAGGCGGCCGUAACAAAUGGCCCGAGGGUAUAAAUGAUAACUAGUAAAAUGCCGGGAAUGUUGUCCGGCCCGACGGCCGUCGAUAUCGUCGUGGUCAUUCCUUAGGUACACGAGAGCCGGCCGGGGGAUGCCCUACCUAUAGCUAGCCUGGUCGAUCGAUCGGGACGUACGAGAUUUCUUUCUAGGAGUAGGUACGUACGUACGUAUAUAUAUAAUCGGCAACGACGGCCGGUGCUCUUGAUCGAUCCGAUUGUACGUAGGUGGACUCACAUGUUAACUCGAUCUCUAUCUGGAACGGAAAACAGCGUCUGCACUUUUGUAGCAAUCUCACGCAAUAUUGUCAAACUGCAACUUACUAGUAUUUCUUGCGGCGAAAAAGCAUAUGCACUCCGUUUUGCCAUGACCAUAGGUAUAUAUUUAUUUGAGUAAUUCAAUAUUUAUUUGAUCCUUCCGCUUGAUCCUUGCAAGAAAUAUAAUCAGUCAACUAGGGAGAAUCUGAGAAGGUACGACUCCCGUAACAUAUGC
rnacentral:lncRNA from 1 species